rnacentral:rRNA from 1 species
GAGUUUGAUCGUGGCUCAGAUUGAACGCUGGCGGCAGGCCUAACACAUGCAAGUCGAGCGGAUGACGGGAGCUUGCUCCUUGAUUCAGCGGCGGACGGGUGAGUAAUGCCUAGGAAUCUGCCUGGUAGUGGGGGACAACGUUUCGAAAGGAACGCUAAUACCGCAUACGUCCUACGGGAGAAAGCAGGGGACCUUCGGGCCUUGCGCUAUCAGAUGAGCCUAGGUCGGAUUAGCUAGUUGGUGGGGUAAUGGCUCACCAAGGCGACGAUCCGUAACUGGUCUGAGAGGAUGAUCAGUCACACUGGGACUGAGACACGGUCCAGACUCCUACGGGAGGCAGCAGUGGGGAAUAUUGGACAAUGGGCGAAAGCCUGAUCCAGCCAUGCCGCGUGUGUGAAGAAGGUCUUCGGAUUGUAAAGCACUUUAAGUUGGGAGGAAGGGCAGUAAGUUAAUACCUUGCUGUUUUGACGUUACCGACAGAAUAAGCACGGCUAACUCUGUGCCAGCAGCCG